rnacentral:misc_RNA from 1 species
ACCUAGCCGCGAUGGAAGUGAAAAUCCCGGAGUGAGGUGCGAGCCGCCUCGGGCGGUGAGCGCCGAGCGAGGAAUUGUAACGGACAGCGGGACGGGUU